rnacentral:rRNA from 1 species
CAACUUUCAACAACGGAUCUCUUGGUUCUGGCAUCGAUGAAGAACGCAGCGAAAUGCGAUAAGUAGUGUGAAUUGCAGAAUUCAGUGAAUUAUCGAAUCUUUGAACGCACAUUGCGCCCUUUGGUAUUCCAAAGGGCAUGCCUGUUCGAGCGUCAUU